AACGAACGCUGGCGGCAUGCCUAACACAUGCAAGUCGAACGAGACCUUCGGGUCUAGUGGCGCACGGGUGCGUAACGCGGGGGAACCUGCCCUUAGGUUCGGAAUAACUCCCCGAAAGGGGUGCUAAUACCGGAUAAUGUCUUCGGACCAAAGAUUUGUCGCCUUUGGAUGGGCCCGCGUUGGAUUAGCUAGGUGGUAGGGUAAAAGCCUACCAAGGCGACGAUCCAUAGCUGGUCUGAGAGGAUGAUCAGCCACACUGGGACUGAGACACGGCCCAGACUCCUACGGGAGGCAGCAGUGGGGAAUAUUGGCCAAUGGGCGAAAGCCUGAUCCAGCAAUGCCGCGUGAGUGAUGAAGGCCUUAGGGUUGUAAAGCUCUUUUACCCGGGAUGAUAAUGACAGUACCGGGAGAAUAAGCUCCGGCUAACUCCGUG
rnacentral:rRNA from 1 species